rnacentral:lncRNA from 1 species
CAGGAAAAGAACUGUUGAGACUCUCUCGCCUUUAUCAGUAAAGGUUACCAGGAAUGCAAAGUGCAAGGAGGUAGACUCCAUAUACCCAGGGGCUCUUGGUUACAGUCCUGGGAUGGUGCUCCUGCCUUCAUAGCUGGUCUGGUGGAACUUGCAGCACAUGAGGAUCAAGCAGGCCUUCUCCUUCAGGGCAGGAUGAAUUCCACCACACGGAAUCCUAAACACUGUAAGAUCACAGCAAGAUGGGUUCCAGUAGUCUUGAGGAACUCACCCUGGCAGAUGGCUGGCAACCGUCUUCCAUGUGGAAGACAUCUAUCUCUCCCACAGUGAAAAUACACAUCUGGUGACUGGACCCACCCAAGAAGGCCCAGGGCUGCUUCUGGCCAUACAGUGGACUGUGGACUUACCUCAGAGUUCUGCACUGAGGGCCUUUGCCUAUCCCCU